GCACUCGUGGCGGAACUGGCAGACGCGCUACCUUGAGGUGGUAGUAUCUAACGAUGUGUGAGUUCAAAUCUCGUCGAGUGCACCA
rnacentral:tRNA from 1 species